CUUGUCAUUUCAUGAAACAGACUGGUCUCAGACAGUAAUCACCUUUUCUAUGGAGGGGAAAAGAGCAAGUAUUUGCUGUUAAGAUAUAUAUGAAAACUGAUAUUCCUCUUUGCUUUAAAUUCCCAUGUGAAAAGUAUCUUGGGAAAAAUGAACCCCCUAUUUUAUUUAUCUAUUUUUACAGAAAAUGCAAAUAUUAAUUAUGGACAGUGAUCUUUAGCCUUUUGGACAGAUUUAAAUGCUGAGACAGCAAGAGCAGACUGAAAUCAGGAUUGAGAAAUAGAGCGAGAAAGCAGGGGGAAAUCAGAAAGGGGUCGCAAAGCGAGAUGGGGAAACUCAAAGUUACUGGGGAAUAGAAUUUCCCUAGCACUAGUCACAAUACGUAUGUUUGUUCAAAAGCAAGAGGCGGGGAAGACAUGCAUGCCUGAUGCUGAAGAAAAGCCUGUUUGUGUCUCACACACUGGAGAAAUUGUUCAAGAACAGUCCAUCGAUGUGAAAAUAUGACCCAUGUCAUCUUGCCAGGGUAGUUAAGACACUCAGUAGCUGAGUAAAGCCUGAUUGGAUAAAUUCACAAUCCUGGGGGUGUACAUACUUCCUAGUAUCCAGUUUUUCUAAGAUACAAAAAAAAAUGUCAGUGGAAAUAAGGUUACAGAGUGCCACAUGUGUGGGCGAGACAAGGUCUCCAUAGGGUGGGAACCAGGCAGAACUCAGACAUGGCUCAUUCUUUUAGUUUCUGCUCCAUUUUCUUAGUGGUCAAAAUGAGAAACAAAGGAUAAAUGCCCAGCACUAGCAAAAAAGAGGGAACUGUGAUAUUUAGAGAUGGGGAGGAGGGAAAGGUUACCGACUAGCAUCGAAAUGAAUUUCCCAUUCUCCUUUACUAUUGUCGUCUUUCACAAACUCCCAGUGUGUCUAGAGAUAAAACCCCAACAUUUACUGUAGGGGUGCGUUUUUCCAAGGAGAUCCAAGGAUGUGAACUCUGUCUAUGGAAAGUGAAUGUCCAAAGGUAUGCAGGAAACAUUGACUAUAGCAAAGGCUUGCAAAGGGGCAACAACAUGGUGGGUGCAAGUGAAACAGAAAAAAAUGAGCCCAUCUUGGAGAAACUUUCUUGCCCUCUGUCUGGUGAUUUCUGUAGGCUUUUGCCUGGAUUCAUCCUGAUGGUAAUAAUUUCAGGUGGUCCGCACAUCAACACGGUCCAGGAGCUUGUUAGAAGGACCGGAUUCCCAGCUCCUGAAGAUUUAUCAAGCCAGACACUUGGGAACAGGACCCGAUAGCCCAUGAGUUUUGAAGACUUAAGAAAUUCUUAAGAAUUAUGGAAUUCUGCUCUAGACUAACAUUUGAGAAGCAUAAACCUGGAACUUAUGAAGGAACUGAGUAGAACUGUCUCCUGAGAUGCUCCAUCCAGUCGCAGAUGGAAACAGACGCAGAGACACACAGCCAAUCAUCAGAGGGACUUAUAGCUCCGGAGUUUGGUAGAAGCUCCAGAGUGAGUUGUAGAGGUCACAGACCACACACGAAUUACAGAGUCAAUGAACUCUGUCCUGUCGGGGUUCACAGAGACUAAACCACUAACCAAAGUGCAUACAGGUGCUGGACUUAACCCCCUCAGCAUUUGUAGCAGAAGCACAGAUCGGUCUUUCUUGGGUCCCCUAACAAUUGGAGUAGGGGAUGUCUCUGACUCCGUUGCCUGCCUGUGGACCCUUUUCCUCUAGCUGAACUGCUUGGUCAGGCCUGUGUGGGAGAGAACGCAGUUAUUUGCUGCUACUUGAUGUUCCAAGGAGAGGUGGUACCCAACGGGGGUUUCCCCUUCUCUAAGGAGAAGGGAAGGAUUUGUAAGAGUAGGAUUUAAAGAAGAGGGGGCAGGCUGUGAUCCAUAUGUAAAGCGAAUAAAUAAAUUAAUUAAUAGAAAAGUGAAUUAAGAUCAGUUCAAUAGAAAAAAAAGAAAAGAAAGGUCAAUAGUAAAACUAAAAAACUGGGCUACAAGAGAAGUGUAAAACAUCAUGAAAAGAUCUAAGGUUUAAAUUUUAGGCAGACACUAUUAGGAAAACACUAUUGCAAAAGCAUAGAAAAUUCUUUCAAUAAAUUUAUAUACAAAAGGUGCUCUACAAAGGAUGCUGGAGAAAAUAUUUCAGACUAAAGAGGAUAAACAUCUCCAAGGCAGACAAACAUGAUAAAUAUACAACACCAGCACAGUUCCAAUAGGUCUAAGAAAAUUGACAAAACAACAGGAAUAAUGAUAUAACUUUCAAUAAUAACCAAAGAAUGGUUUCAAUUUCCUUAUGAUAAAGAAGAGCAGAUUUUAUUAAAAAUAGGAUAUUUCUUUUUGCUAACCUCAGGAAACACACCUCACUAUUUUUAAUGCACAACGCACUAGAAGAAAUGGGUAAAAAGAGGUGUUCUAAGCAAAUAGAAUUAGGAAAAAGAAGACAUAGCUGUUUACUAUCUGACAAAGCAGAGUACAAACUAUAACUUCUCAGAAGAAAUCAAGCAUUCUUAAAUGCUUAAAUUAAGCUUAAAUAAAGGUCAUGCCAUACUCACUAAAGAAACAAUCCACUUAAAAGAUAUUUCAGUUCUAAACUGAUAGGCAAAACAAGUAGAUCAAGUUUCAUUUAAAAAAAAACGAAACACACAUACAAAAAAGCCCAUCUUAUUAUUCUAUAUGAAACCGCAUAAUAACAGAGAGAGAGUGAUUCACUUCAGUUCUCGUCACUACUACAAAAGUCAUCUGGACAGAAACUAACCAGGGAAAUAUCUGAAUUAAAUGACACCAUAAAUCUAAUAGACCUAACAGAAUAGCUUCAUAACAUGUCACCCAAACACUAAAAAAUAUACGUGAUUUUCAUCAAAUUAUGGGAUUUUCUCUAAAAUGGACCAUGUAUUAGAAUAAAAAGCAAACCCCUUUCAAAAAAUAUAGAAAAAUUGAAAUAAUGGCCUAUAUUCUCUGUGGUCACAGUGGAGUAGAACAGCUAUAGCGGACAGAAAACAUGCAAAUCUCUAGUGACUAUACAACAUACUUUUCAAAGAUAGUUGAGUCACUAAAGAAAUAAAGGCGAUAUUUUCAAAUCCUAGACUAGAAUAAAACAGAAAUAUAACACACCAAUACCUUAGGAAGGAAAUGUACUAAGUCCCAAUAGAAAUUUUUAUGGCACUUUGCUCCCACAUCAAAAGAAUUGAAAAAAAAAUUCACAUUAAGAAUUCAACAAUACAUCUAAAUAUUUUGGCAAAAUAAGAACAAAUGGAAACCCAAUGAAGUAGAGAGAAAGAAAUAACCAAGACCAGGGUAGAAAUUAACAGAAUAUUAGAUAAAUUCCAAAUAUAGUCUAAAAUAGAGACAGUAUACAAUAUGUAAACUUAAUUUCAGAGUAUAUUCAAUAUCCACUUCAAGUCAAUGAUUCUCAAAACAGUGGCCUAAACCUCAUCCAUGCUGCCAUAAGAAAUCUGGACUCUUGCUGUCUAUAUUAGAUCUUUAGGUAAUUUUAUUAUUCACUAAAGUUUGGGACUACUGCUUGAAAUGCUGUAAAAUUGGGUUAAUUUUGAGUUAAACUUAUUUUGUAAUUGGGUAAUAAAGUUUGGCCUUCAGUGACCUCCAUAUAUGCCAUAUUCUUUCCUAACUUUAUGUAUAAACAAACUGUUAACCAAGCAUACACCCUUCUUCCCAAGCACCUGAAUCCUAGCGAAUCACAGCUGCUAACCCUGCCAAAAUGGGACACGGGGUGCAAACUGUACCAAGAGAUAAUCUCUGCACAUCACCUCUGUUUUCUGAUUAUAAACGUAGUUUACCAUACUGGAGGUGGAUAUUGUGAGGCAUCUACAUUUUGAAAUGCUUUAUCAUUUGAGACCCGUUUUUGCUCAAGUAAACUGUGUUAAAUUUAACUAGCCUAGGGUUUCUUUUUCUCGAUAGUGCUUCCAGAUUUCAAUUUAUUUUAGUUCCUAUAAACUCCUCCAUGCAGUGGGCCCGGCAGGACCAGCAUUCAGAUGAUUUAGAACCUAUACAUACACAGAAACAUCAUGUGUAUCUUAGUUGUUGGGGACAUAAUAAAAGACAUGAUGAUUUGGACUCAAUUAUCUACUGUACGCAUAAAGUCGUUCUCUUCAUGUUAAUAACAUCCCUAAGUUAUGCUAAUGAUUUCCUACUAUGAAAUAACAAGCAAUCAGAUUCCAAAAAAUUUAAUAAGUGGCUUUCAUUUACUUCUUGUGAUUAUGUUUUAUAAAAUAAAUAAUGUUCUGUUUGAAAACUUUGUAAAAUUAAAAUUGUUUUAGAGGCAGAUUUGAAACUCUGUCCACACUGAUACUGUACCUCAGUAGAUUUCUAUCAAAUGUGUGCUUAUUGCCAAUAUUUAUUGUAAAAUAUGCACAAGAUGUUUGAUUUAAAUGCAUAUUUAUUUGCUAAAUACUAGCAUUUUCUUUGCAUCUUUCAAAAUUCUAUGGGAGAAUUAUCAGUUGCUGUAAGUGGGCAUUGGUUUGUCUUUGCGUGUACAUGUAAGUAUAUGCUUAUGUGUGAAUAUGUAAGUGUGCAUGUGUUUAUGUGUGUAUAUAUAUUUAUAUUUGA
rnacentral:sRNA from 1 species